rnacentral:lncRNA from 1 species
AUGAAAUCUCAGCUCCCGCCACUUACAGAUCUGAUCCUUAACCGACCCCUCUCCCAGAAGACAGUCCUGAGCGUGCCCCCCCACCCGCUCAAGUGGACUCUGCUUCAGACUAAGCAUCCCAGCCCUUCCCUUCCCCUCUCUGCCCAUCUCAGCCCAAAUCAGCACCUCCCCGGGGGCAGCCCAACCAGCACCCACUCAGGAAGCCCUCACGCGGACACGGCAGCACACGGCCUGGGCCUGACUGUGCCCCCCACGCCCUGGCUGUGUGACAAGCCAGGCCACCGCCCCGCAAACGGACGCUUUGUCCAGGACUCCCAGUCCCCAGGGGUGCCCAGAGCAACCCUCAGCCUCCGCCUGCUGACGUGGGGGGCGGUCCUAUGCACCGUGGGUGGCCAGCAGCGCCCCUGGCCUCUCUCCAGUAGACUCCAGGGGCCCCCACCCCCAGCUGUGAGCACCAAAGCAUCGCUGGACAUGGCAAAAUGUCCCCUGGGCGCAAAAUCACCUCCGCUGAGAGCCACUGGCCUAGAACAACUAACGUUGCUGCUCCAAGAAAUGCAAGAGGCUCCCGCCCCAGCCGACACCAGAAAGGGGAAGCCCGGCUGCUGGGCGAGCAGGUUGGGGUCCCGCCUGGCUCUGAACUCUGACGGUGACUCACUGCACCAGGGAGGAGGCUGGGGGCCACCGCCCAGAUGCUGCCAGGGCCCCAGCAGGAGAAAGAGGGAAGGAAGGAGGCAGACGGGUUCCCGAGACAAGAAGUGUGGCCAAAUCUCUCAUUUUCAAAAGGGGUGCAACACCAGGAUGUCCUGCCAACACCAGCCCGGCCAAUCGCUCGAUGCAUUUGCUGCCCCAAUGCGUCUUGCCCAGAGCCCUCAUGACCAGAGGGAGGCAGGGUCGCCUCCCAGCCUCAUAGAGGGGAAAACCAGCCAUGGAGAGGACCUCAGUCAUGGCUCUGCCACGCGGGGCCCCAGGGCACAGGCGCCCCGAUCUCGAUGUGACCCUCCGGGAGAAAGAAGACACCACCCAAGAGCCAGGCUCCUGGGAAGCCUGCAGCGACUCUGGGGUCUGAGCUGACGACAGGUGGGCAGGCGGGGGCCCAGGCGCCCCCAGGGUCCCCUCUGAGCUGGGUGAGCUCGGUGCUGCCCAGCCCUCUCUUGACUGCGGCCACUUCCAACGCCUUUGCUCUUUUAGCAGGAGCUGCGCUGGCUGUCCGGAACGCUGACCUCCAGGAGCCCCAUGUCCUCCUCCUCCGAGUCACCUGCAAAGGGAGCUGGGCUAGUGACACUUGCUGGGCGAGAAGGACACACCUGCUCAGACUCCAGGAGCCGGGGCCGCCCCGCCGCAGCCCAGGGCCCUGGGACAAGCAGCUCCUCAGAGCGCCUCGGGGGUCCAGCCCUCCUCGCAUCCUCUGGGGAACAGCCUGCCCGGACACAGAGGUGAGGCGCAGUGGAGCGGGGCGGGGAGAAGGCCACAGGAGCUCAGCUCUCAGGACCCACUCUGCCGAGUCCCUGUCCCUGCUCAGACCCGCCCGCUUCUGCCUGCCAAAGGCCAGGCCGCCCAUGUCCCCAUCACCAGGCACUAAAAAUAGUUUUCUUCUGGACGCCGAAAAGAGGGAAGAAAGCAAGCUGUGAGAACAAGCUGUUUGGCUCUGUGUUUUCAUCUUCCCCCCCACCAAAAGAGAGAUCCAAAAGGGAAAAGGCUCAGCUGGAGUCCAGCAGAGGACACGGACGCGAGUGGGGGCGGCUCUCAAAGGGCAGAGCCGGCAGACAGAGGCUCGGGCGGAGAGGCAGAGUCAGGCAGAGCACAGGCCCAGGACCAGCAGACAUGGGCCCAGGGACACGGGGCCCCGAGCGGCAGACAUGGGCCCAGAGACACGGGCCCCUGCGGCCUGCGGCCCUGGGAGCCGGGUCAGCAACUGGGGUGGCGGGAGGCGGCGCCAGGGAAGCGGGAGGAAAGGUGCCCGGGGCGGGGCGGGGACGGGCUGGCGGGCCUUACCUGAGCAGGAGACGGAGGAGGAGGAGGAGGACGGGCCGCGCCCGGCCAC